AACGACUCUGGUCUCUAACUCGCAAUUAGACGACGUUUUCCCCCUCAAGAUGUUACUUGUUUCUAAAAAGAAGACAGGGACCAAAUUCAACAAGUUACACAUCUUGGACAACAACACCUGAACUACCAUUAACCUUUUAUUGCCACACCGCCCACAUUUCACCUGAAAACAAUUAUUAGAAAUAACAGCAUGGCGGCGUUGGCCUUCAUCCAGCGAGCGCAGACGAGGAGAAGAUGCGACUCCUCCACUCGGGUCCGGGACACAAUGGCAGACGCCCCAGACGGUUCAUCGGGUCCUCAGAGCAGAUAAGUGAUCCGUUCACACACCAGGGGAGGGUUCAGUGCUUUUGACCCGCCAGAACAGUGCGUCCGCUGGGCCUCCCCACCUUGAAUGGCCUUGUUGAAAAGCGGGGCCAUAAAUUGUCGGAUGAGCCGAGCGGGGGGGGGAUGAGGCGUCCCCCUCCCCGCCUCAUCCCACCUCCGCCGGCCCACUCCUCGCUCGCUCACAUGCUAUCUCUUUCCUCCACUCACCGAGCGGUGGUUUCCAUCUCAGCCAGCCUCUUGUCCCACCUGCAUGUUUAAAAAGAUGAAAGGAUAAGCCAAAAGAAUGGGCACAAAGGCGGCGAGGCUUGUGUUACAAGGCUGGUCCUCAGAGAGCGCCCAUGAAAGACUUCGGGGAUGGGAGAAGACACGGACACCGAAAGGGACGGGGGAUGAUGAAAAGACGUUUGUCAAACCUCUGCGCCGCCGAAACAGGUCAUCUGUGUGUAGAGCGGAGGGACCAAAGUGCAGUGGAUGAGCUGUUGAACACUAAAAACUGAAACAUAAUGAGUAUCUAAACCAGGAAAAUGUAGAAAAAUAUUUUAGAGCUGGGAUUCCAGCUACUUAAGACCCUAACAUACCCAGUAAUCAAAGCAAACGUCCACCAGGUCUGUGCGCAAAAGCUCAAAUUUUAUGAGCGCUCAGACUCUGGUAUGUCACACUGCUCCGUGUGACCCGAUGGGCUCUGAAUCUUUGGGCACAACACGAUUCGACUCGAUUCUUAGGGGUAACGAUUAGAUUCAGAAUCAAUUCUCGUUUCAAAAUCAAUACUUUUUUAAUAACAUUGGAUGACAGUUCUAUGAUUAACUACAUUCCUCCAUAAUAUAGAUAAGCAGUUCUGAUCAAUUUCUAUAUUACUUAAAAGAAAACUGGUUUUGUUUAAUAAAAUUAUACCCAAACAUUUAAUAAAGUCAAAUACAAAUAAGGCAACAAGAGAAGUAUCCAACACUUCCCUUUUUUCUAAAGUAAAUCUGUACAGCAGAUGUGAUCAUCUACAUCAACAAUGUGAUUUGCCUGAAUGUCUGGACAGAACAGAUUGGCGGUGGAGGGAAAUCGAUUUUUGAUCGCGAUUAAUCUGAAAACAUUUUUUUUCUUACGCCCGUCUAAAUUAUGCCACCAAAGCUUACUGUAAAACUAAAAUUGUAUGAAUGAAAUGUUUUCCCCUAAAGAUGGGAUUAUGGCUCUUUGAAGGGAGCCAGAUGUUCAAAAGACUGGCUCUUUAUUAUACUUACUUUUUUUUAACUGUUUUUUUUUCUAUCAAGGAAACAAUCAAUAUUAACAGUUACUAGGGGUGUCAUAAAAAAAUUAUUUUCAAAUUAAUUGUGAUUCUUAUUUGUAACAAUUCUUAAUUGUGAAAAAAAUAUAUAUAUAUUUUAUUUUUUGGGGGAAACGGACUGUGACUUAUUUUCUACUCCCGUCGGGCUGCACGCACGUGCAGAGUGGGCAAUCGCAGACGCUAAAUUCGCAUGUGCAUAAAAAACGAACAGCUCACAACCAGGAAUCGGUUCUCAUCGUUUACUUAAAAGAGCCUUUCAAAAGACUGGAUUUGUUCGCGAAAGCCACAUCUCUAUUUUACACGACUCACCUCUGAGACAAUUCCCAAAACAGUUGACGAACUUGACGGACCUCCUCGAACUAGCUGCAACGUUAUGGAUGAGGUUCUAGUUGACCCGAGUUCUGAACUGGAUCACUCUUCCGUGCACGGCUGUGGCCAUAUCUGUGUAGCACGCCUGGCUGAGCCCUGAAGAAGAUCUCUAUGACUAUCUGUUGGCUUCUUGAUAGACUGGACAUUAAUUCAAUAAUUUUACUCACUCAACAUCACUUGCAUUUCCUUUAGAAGGGGGGUCCCUACAUCUGCGGCCCCUUUUUAGAGUCUCUUUUUUUUCCCCCCACUGGGGUCUGUUGAGUUUUUCCUUGGGGUUUAGACCAGAGGAUGUCUUUGUGAGUUUAAACCCUUUGAGACACCUGUGAUAAAUAUAUUUUGAUUAAUUGAUUGAUGAUUGUGCUCAGAGCAGCUAGUAGCCAGUACUGCUCACCAACAUUGCUCCCCUACCUCAUCACUUGUGGCCAUCUCUUUAGUUCACUGCUUUGCAGAACGAGCAGGUCGAGCAGCUCCACUUUCUUGUUGUCAGUUCAGGGCGCCGUGACAAAAAAAUUUAAAUGCUGAGGGAUUGUGGGAAAUGUAGUGUUGCACAGAAAUUUCACAGGAAACUACAACACGGUAGCACUCGUGACUAUGGAAGCUCUGAUGACUGCGGACGUUCCGCACGGAGUAUGCUGCGUCCACAGUAUGCUGGAGUCUGUGGGUACCUUAAAGGCCUACUGAAAUGAAAUUUUUCUAUUUAAACGGGGAUAGCAGAUCCAUUCUAUGUGUCAUACUUGAUCAUUUCGCGAUAUUGCCAUAUUUUUGCUGAAAGGAUUUAGUAUAGUACAACGACGAUAAAGUUCGCAACUUUUGGUCUCUGAUAAAAAAAAAACCUUGCCCCUACUGGAAGUAGCGUGACGACACCGGAGGAAGGACUGCUCAUAUUUUCCUAUUGUUUACACCAGCAGCGAGAGAGAUUCGGAACGAGAAAGCGACGAUUACCCCAUUAAUUUGAGUGAGGAUGAAAGAUUCGUGGAUGAGGAACGUGAAAGUGAAGGACGAGCGUGCAGUGCAGAACGUAUCUUUUUUCGCUCUGACCGUAACUUAGGUACAAGGGUUCAUUGGAUUCCACACUGUCUCCUUUUUCUAUUGUGGAUCACGGAUUUGUAUUUUAAACCACCUCGGAUACUAUAUCCUCUUGAAAAUGAGAGUCGAGAACGCGAAAUGGACAUUCACAGUGACUUUUAUCUCCACGACAAUACAUAGGUGAAGCUCUUUAGCUACGGAGCUAACGUGAUAGCAUCGGGCUUUACUGCAUAUAGAAACAAAACAAAUAAGUCCCUGACUGGAAGGAUAGACAGAAGAUCAACAUUACUACCAAACUCUGGACAUGUAAAUAAACGGUUAAUGCUUUCCAGCUUGGCGAAGCUUAAUAAUGCUGUUGCUAACGACGCCAUUGAAGCUAACUAGCUACGGAACCUCGACAGAGCUAUGCUAAAAAUAUUAGCUCUGCACCUAUGCCAGCUCUCAUCUGCUCAUCACGACCCGUGCUUACCUGCGUUCCAGCGAUCGACGGUACGACGAAGGACUUCACCCGA